rnacentral:rRNA from 1 species
AGCGAACGCUGGCGGCAGGCUUAACACAUGCAAGUCGAGCGGGCCUUUCGGGGUCAGCGGCGGACGGGUGAGUAACGCGUGGGAACGUGCCCUCUGGUUCGGAAUAACUCAGGGAAACUUGAGCUAAUACCGGAUACGCCCUUUUGGGGAAAGGCUUGCUGCCGGAGGAUCGGCCCGCGUCUGAUUAGCUAGUUGGUGAGGUAACGGCUCACCAAGGCGACGAUCAGUAGCUGGUCUGAGAGGAUGAUCAGCCACACUGGGACUGAGACACGGCCCAGACUCCUACGGGAGGCAGCAGUGGGGAAUAUUGGACAAUGGGCGCAAGCCUGAUCCAGCCAUGCCGCGUGAGUGAUGAAGGCCUUAGGGUUGUAAAGCUCUUUUAUCCGGGACGAUAAUGACGGUACCGGAGGAAUGAGCCCCGGCUAACUUCGUG